UGAUUACUUGGUUGGUUUUAAAAUGAUAUCGUGUUUAAGGAUCGUAUAUCGCAUGAUGUUUAUUUCACUUUCAUACCCAUGAAUGGAUCUUAUUCGCAUAUUGAGUCUUAGAUAUGAAAGGAUUUGUUUUAUAUGACACUCCAUGUGUGCGGCUGGACCCUUGGCCUUGCUUUAAGGGCGACAGCUGAGAGGGUUACUCAAUUGGGUUUAGACUUGAGAAGUUAACCUGUUGGUCCAAUCCAAGUAUAUGGGCCCUUGUCGAGUUAGGAUUAAUUCCUGGGCCCCUACCAGAUCUGAAC
rnacentral:lncRNA from 1 species